rnacentral:rRNA from 1 species
ACUGGCCUACGGGAGGCAGCAGUGGGGAAUAUUGCACAAUGGGGGAAACCCUGAUGCAGCGACGCCGCGUGAGUGAAGAAGUAAUUCGUUACGUAAAGCUCUAUCAGCAGGGAAGAGAAUGACGGUACCUGAGUAAGAAGCCCCGGCUAACUACGUGCCAGCAGCCGCGGUAAUACGUAGGGGGCAAGCGUUAUCCGGAAUUACUGGGUGUAAAGGGAGCGUAGACGGUUAAGUAAGUCUGGAGUGAAAGGCCGGGGCCCAACCCCGAGACUGCUCUGGAAACUAUUGAACUUGAGUGCAGGAGG